GGAGAGAUGGCUGAGUGGACUAUAGCGGCCGCCCCGAAAGCGGCUGUACCUUAACCGGUACCGCAGGUUCGAAUCCUGCUCUCUCCG
rnacentral:tRNA from 1 species